AUUGAACGCUGGCGGCAUGCCUUACACAUGCAAGUCGAACGGUAACGGGCCUUCGGGUGCCGACGAGUGGCGAACGGGUGAGUAAUGUAUCGGAACGUACCUUUCAGUGGGGGAUAACGUAGCGAAAGUUACGCUAAUACCGCAUAUUCUGUGAGCGGGAAAGCAGGGGAUCGCAAGACCUUGCGCUGAUUGAGCGGCCGAUGUCAGAUUAGCUAGUUGGUGAGGUAAAGGCUCACCAAGGCGACGAUCUGUAGCGGGUCUGAGAGGAUGAUCCGACACACUGGAACUGAGACACGGUCCAGACUCCUACGGGAGGCAGCAGUGGGGAAUUUUGGACAAUGGGGGCAACCCUGAUCCAGCCAUGCCGCGUGAGUGAAGAAGGCCUUCGGGUUGUAAGGCUCUUUCGGCCGGGAAGAAAUCGCACGGGCUAAUACCCUGUGUGGAUGACGGUACCGGAAUAAGAAGCACCGGCUAACUACGUGCCAGCCGCCGCAGUAAGAC
rnacentral:rRNA from 1 species